GACGAACGCUGGCGGCGUGCUUAACACAUGCAAGUCGAACGGAAAGGCCCUGCUUUUGUGGGGUGCUCGAGUGGCGAACGGGUGAGUAACACGUGAGUAACCUGCCCUUGAAUUUGGGAUAACUUCAGGAAACUGGGGAUAAUACCGGAUAGAAGCUCCUGCUGCAUGGUGGGGGUUAGAAAGAUUCGGCGGUUGUGGAUGGACUCGCGGCUUAUCCGCUUGAUGGGGGGGUAGUGGCUUACCAAGGCUUUGACGGGUAGCCGGCCUUAGAGGGGGACCGGCGACAUUGGGACUGAGAGACGGCGCAGACGCCUACGGGAGGCAGUAGUGGAGAAUAUGGCACAAUGGGCGGAAGCCUGAUGCAGCAACGCCGCGUGCGGGAUGACGGCUUUCGGGGUGUAAACCGCUGUCGCCGGUGAUGAAGCGGGAUUGACGGUAAUGGGUAAAGAAGCAACGGCUAACUACGUG
rnacentral:rRNA from 1 species